rnacentral:rRNA from 1 species
GUGGGGAAUUUUGGACAAUGGGGGCAACCCUGAUCCAGCCAUCCCGCGUGUGCGAUGAAGGCCUUCGGGUUGUAAAGCACUUUUGGCAGGGAAGAAAAGGUUCUGGUUAAUACCUGGAGCCGCUGACGGUACCUGCAGAAUAAGCACCGGCUAACUACGUGCCAGCAGCCGCGGUAAUACGUAGGGUGCGAGCGUUAAUCGGAAUUACUGGGCGUAAAGCGUGCGCAGGCGGUUCGGAAAGAAAGAUGUGAAAUCCCAGGGCUUAACAUUGGAAUGGCAUUUUUAACUACCGGGCUAGAGUAUGUCAGAGGGGGGUAGAAUUCCACGUGUAGCAGUGAAAUGCGUAGAUAUGCGGAGGAACACCGAUGGCGAAGGCAAUCCCCUGGGCCUGCACUGACGCUCAUGCACGAAAGCGUGGGGAGCAAACAGGAUUAGAAACCCUGGUAGUCC